rnacentral:lncRNA from 1 species
CCCAAGAGACUUAAUUGGGACAUGUUUAUUUUCUUUGAGGUAGAGACUGGGAGAGGAGCAGCUUGAUACUAAACACAGCAAAGGGAGCCUUGGGCACGACCCAUGGUGCCUGAGUCAGAAGGCUCGGAGGCAUGGAGAAUUCUACAGGAUGGGAUUAGGAAUGGAGUGUGUCUGAGAGGUGUCAUCCCUCACCAACCACAACCCGAUCUAGCAGGCAAACAGCCAAAGAGACUCACAAGGGCCAGGUCGAAAAGGCUAAGGAGUAAGAGAAUUUAUGUGUCACUGAGCUGGACAGCUGUCAGGCCCUAAAACCCUUUGUCGUCAAUUUCAUUUCUGCUUUGAAACUGUAAGAAAGACAGGAAAUUCAGCAAGGCGGAGAAUGCUUUGCAGAUCUCCCGGUCUCCUUCCAUCACUGCCACAAGCACCCCAAGCGGCCAGAACCUGAAUGUUUCCCACUUAGCUCAAGCUGUCCCUCUGGGGCUCAGGCAAGGGUCAUGGCGAAGCAAAACAUAACAAAUGAAGCCCAAGAUGACUCAGAGCCCGGGUCAGUGGAGCCUGGGUCAGCAGAGCCUAGAUCAGCACAGCCUGGGUCAGAGGUCAUCAUCCUGAGAACAUGGGACAGAUGUCAAGACCAAGCGCCGCUCCAGGGUCUCCCUGUCAAGUUCCAAAGUAAGCUAUGUCUGCCCCAAAUUCCCUAGCUACUGCACCUACACAAGGGUGUCUGGGCCAAGCAACAAAGGCUUCCUCCAUAUUCCCAACCGGCUCUCUCUCCUCAGACCAGGGCAGCUCCUGGGAGAAGAGCACGAGAGACGGUGGAGCAUCCCUCCCUGCAGCCUACCACAGGGGCAUGCUCUGCCCCGACAUAUUGUAGUGCUAUAUUUAUUUGCUUUUGUGUAUAUAUGUGUGUAUGUGGUGUAUCUGUUUGAUGUUUUUUGGUCUGUGUGUGUGAGUGUGUGUGUGUGUGUGUGUGUGUGUGUGUGCAUGUGUGUGCAUGUGUGUGUGUGCGCGUGUGUGCGUGUUGGUCACUCCUCACCCGAUUACCUUUGAGAUCUCCAUCCCCAAGCUUGUCCAGCAGGUGCUCUUGCACCCUGCUGAGGCGUCUCCCCAGUCCCGGCUGGGCAAUUCUUUCCUUCUCCCUGGUGACAUCAUUCCUGCUGCUGUUCUCUGGUUUGGGGAAAGGGCUGUGAGACCUGGGCUGCUGUAGAGAGACACUGGGUCCCCAGUGAGCACAGCAUGUCAUUAGCAGCCCCAUGUCUUCUCCCACUGGGGCCCUAACAUUCUGCCAAGCCGGCUAUUCUGGGCUCGUCUGCCCGGCUAUCCCACAGGCAAAGGCUGGCUUUGCAAACUUUUGAAUUCCAUUCUGCAGGCAGGCUUCCAUGGGUGGUGCUCCACUGCCAAGAGGGGGAUGGGGGAACCGCUCAGAGAUCCACAGAAGUUGCUGAAACGGGAAAGGAAACCUGGCAUCCAGACUAGUCCUGGCCACGGGCCCGAGCUCAUGGCUCCUGUCGGGCGCUGCCUGUUUUCUGGGAGGCCUAGGCAGGUGGAGCUCAGGAUUGGCAGCUUAAGGGCUGGUACAGGACCUCACAGCUGGAAGGAAAGAAAUGUAAGUAAGGACUGUCCCUCUGCAAGGUCAGCACACUCGGGCCGUGGCCGUUCACGCGCCUCUUGAUGUUCAUUCAGCCAUUUAACCUCCCCGUGCCUCAGUUUCUCUGUCUCUACUAGCUCCCUCCGUUUUGGUAAAACAUGUCAGUUCACACAGAGGCUUGAAACGACCCUGAUGUAAUUAUCUUAACCUGAUAAAUAAAGUGACAUCGCCCCCUGGUGGAA